GUAGCCUGUUUUGUCAUUGUGGGUUGUGGGUGAUUGUCUAUGUUAUGUUGCUUGUUAGCACAGUGUUUCAUUAGUGCCACGGUUGUCACGUUGGUUUGUUUUUUCGAACACUUACCACGCCGCAUCUGGGUCCGAUCCUUACUCCUCUUCAGACGAAGAGGAGGACAUCUGCCGUGACACGCCUUUGAAAUGACUGGCAUUUGGGGGAGCAAGAAAUGCAAACUUAAAUUUGGUUGGAUUAUUCUCAUAAUAUGAUAAUAUUAUAUGUUAAUUUUGACAGAUUUUGAUAUCAAGCAACUGUAUCCUUGCUCUUUUAAAUGUCAGAUUGAUCCAAUGAUGUACAAGUACAUCAUCAAUGAACACAACCACUGGACUGUGACGGUUGUGCUGCCAUCUCAAGAGGGCUCUGUUUCUCGACCCAAUGGGGGAAAGGGCCAGAAAGAUACAAAGAUGCCAGGAGUUGACAAGAUCAUUCCUGAGAGAGAAGGGGUGUAAUAUCUCCAGAUGGGCGUGUGGUACCCUUCCUCACCCAUGCCAACAAGAUGUUACUUCUUGUGGGGUCUCUGCCUUGAAAACAAUGACCCAACACACCUCCAGGCUGUGUAAGGACUAUU